CAAAUUAAAGCUUUAAGAAGCGUUUUAUUUACACUAAAGAGAUUGUUUAGUAGAUGUGAUUUGA
rnacentral:tRNA from 1 species